CCUACGUGGGGCAGCAGUGAGGAAUAUUGGUCAAUGGGCGGAAGCCUGAACCAGCCAAGUAGCGUGCAGGAUGACGGCCCUACGGGUUGUAAACUGCUUUUAUACGGGAAUAACGCGCCUUACGUGUAGGGCUUUGCAUGUACCGUAUGAAUAAGGACCGGCUAAUUCCGUGACAGCAGCCGCGGUAAUACGGAAGGUCCGGGCGUUAUCCGGAUUUAUUGGGUUUAAAGGGAGCGUAGGCGGCAUGUCAAGCGUGCGGUGAAAUGUCCGGGCUCAACCCGGGCCUUGCAGCGCGAACUGGCGUGCUUGAGUGCGCGGGAAGCAGGCGGAAUUCGUCGUGUAGCGGUGAAAUGCUUAGAUAUGACGAAGAACCCCGAUUGCGAAGGCAGCUUGCUGCAGCGGAACUGACGCUGAUGCUCGAAAGCGCGGGGAUCGAACAGGAUUAGAUACCCGUGUAGUC
rnacentral:rRNA from 1 species